rnacentral:rRNA from 1 species
AUUGAACGCUGGCGGCAGGCCUAACACAUGCAAGUCGAGCGGAUGAAGGGAGCUUGCUCCUGGAUUCAGCGGCGGACGGGUGAGUAAUGCCUAGGAAUCUUCCUGGUAGUGGGGGAUAACGUCCGGAAACGGGCGGUAAUACCGCAUACGUCCUGAGGGAGAAAGUGGGGGAUCUUCGGACCUCACGCUAUCAGAUGAGCCUAGGUCGGAUUAGCUAGUUGGUGGGGUUAAGGCCUACCAAGGCGACGAUCCGUAACUGGUCUGAGAGGAUGAUCAGUCACACUGGAACUGAGACACGGUCCAGACUCCUACGGGAGGCAGCAGUGGGGAAUAUUGGACAAUGGGCGAAAGCCUGAUCCAGCCAUGCCGCGUGUGUGAAGAAGGUCUUCGGAUUGUAAAGCACUUUAAGUUGAGAGGAAGGGCAGUAAGUUAAUACCUUGCUGUUUUGACGUUACCAACAGAAUAAGCACCGGCUAACUUCGUG